GAUGAACGCUGGCGGCGUGCCUAAUACAUGCAAGUCGAGCGCCCCUUUAAGAGGUGACAAUCAUUUGAUUGCCGGUUCCUAUGGGGAGCGGCGGACGGCUGAGUAACGCGUGAGAACCUGCCCCAAAGUGAGGGAUAACGCACCGAAAGGUGUGCUAAUACCGCAUAUGAUCUUCGGAUUAAAGCUUUAUGCGCUUUGGGAGGGGCUUGCGUCCUAUUAGAUAGUUGGUGAGGUAAAGGCUCACCAAGUCAACGAUGGGUAGCUGGUCUGAGAGGAUGACCAGCCAGACUGGAACUGAGACACGGUCCAGACUCCUACGGGAGGCAGCAGUAAGGAAUCUUCCACAAUGGGCGAAAGCCUGAUGGAGCAACGCCGCGUGCAGGAUGAAGGCCCUCGGGUCGUAAACUGCUUUUAUGAGUGAAGAAUAUGACGGUAACUCAUGAAUAAGGGUCGGCUAACUACGUGCCAGCAGCCGCGGUCAUACCUAGGACCCAAGCGUUAUCCGGAGUGACUGGGCGUAAAGAGUUGCGUAGGUGGCUUGUAAAGCAAAUAGUGAAAUCUGGGGGCUCAACCUCACAGGCUAUUAUUUGAACUCACAAGCUCGAGAAUGAUAGAGGUAACUGGAAUUUCUGAAGUAGGGGUAAUAUCCGUAGAUAUCAGAAGGAACACCAAUGGCGUAGGCAGGUUACUGGAUCAUUUCUGACACUGAGGCACGAAAGCGUGGGGAGCGAACCGGAUUAGAUACCCGGGUAGUCCACGCCAUAAACGAUGGAUACUAGCUGUUGGAGGUAUCGACCCCUUCAGUAGCGAAGCUAACGCGUUAAGUAUCCCGCCUGUGGAGUACGGUCGCAAGACUAAAACAUAAAGGAAUUGACGGGGACCCGCACAAGCGGUGGAUCAUGUUCUUUAAUUCGAUGCUAAACGAAGAACCUUACCAGGGCUUGACAUCCCGAGAAUUUUGUCGAAAGACGAGAGUGCUUUAUUGAACUCGGUGACAGAUGUUGCAUGGCCGUCGUCAGCUCGUGUCGUGAGAUGUUUGGUUAAGUCCAUUAACGAGCGCAACCCUUGUGAUUAGUUGUAUUUUUCUAAUCAGACUGCCCCGGCAACGGGGAGGAAGGAGGGGAUGAUGUCAGGUCAGUAUUACUCUUACGUCCUGGGCUAGAAACGUGAUACAAUGGCGAGUACAAUGCGCAGCGAAGCCGCGAGGUGAAGCAAAUCGCACCAAAGCUCGUCCCAGUUCGGAUAAGAGGCUGAAACUUGCCUCUUUGAAGUCGGAAUCGCUAGUAAUCGCAGGUCAGCAAACUGCGGUGAAUACGUUCCCGGGUCU
rnacentral:rRNA from 1 species